CGGGUAGGUAUUAAAGAGCACCGAGAGUGUGCUCUGGUUAUUGGCUUUUGGUUUGGUAAGAAAUUCACCAUAAUGGUGAAUUGCAAAUCCCUCGCCUCUUCUGAUCACCCAUCUCCAACCCUUAGUCACUUCCCUCACUGCUCCCCAAACAACAGGAAAUAUAAUAGGGGAAAAAAAGAAAAGAAGCAAGUACAGGAAAGUUAAAUGUGUGACAAGGAAAUAAAAGCAUAAAGGAAAAUUGACAUCACUUUAUACCUGCCUCCUAUUAUCUCUUUUAGAUAAUAAUUGUGGAGUUUUUGGUUCUGGAGAGCACACAAUUUGUGGCAAGACUACAAAACUGACUUGAGUUAAAUUUCCUUAUAGCCAACACAUCCUGUUUCCAAAAUGUCCUUGUACAUGAAUUGUUUUGUAUAAUUGAUUUGAGUCGGGAUUUAUACCUUUUAUAAUUAUCAUAAACUUGAUAAAUUAAAUUAUUUACUAUACCAUUUUCUGUGUCUUACUCCUAAGAACUUUGUAAAAAUUGUCUGCUCAUCUGAAGUUGGGCAAUGUUAAUUUCAACAUCUGAAGUUAGGCAAAUAUUAAUUUCAAGUUGUCUCACAAGUUCACUUUAGUAUCAUUCGCAUUCCAUAGUUUUAGUGCCCUUGGAAAAGUUAAAAGAGUGUUUGAACGGCUGAUUAAUAGCGACAUUUUUGCUGUGAUUGAGAAUGGUUGGAUGUGGUCAUCGAGAUUGGAGCUCUUGCUCAGGUAUCUUAAAAUUGCAUGUAGGUUUGUCUCCGUUGCCCUUCCUUACCUCUUUUGAAAUUUGUUGAGUGUAAGAAGUUGCCCUGGGUACUGUUCUAGUGUUAGGUACUGCUUCUAUGGUAGGUUUUAAAAUAUUAAGUAGUAACCCUGGUAAGGGGGGAAUUUGCUUAUGGUGGCUUUUGGUUCAUUCAUUCAUUCAAUGGUACCAUUUUGAUUCAAAAGAUGGUGCUUCAUCCUGCAAAGCAAAGCUGAAUACUUAAGUUGAGCAACAUAGUGAUGGAUGGUGCCUUUUGGCCCUUGUUCAUGCCGAGACUGGAGACUGACAACUUAAUUCUGCACUGGGUAAAAAAUGUCGGGAGUAUUGGCCAUCUCUAUCCUUUUCUUUACUGUUUAGCACGUGCCUUUUCUGCUACUAAAAUCUUACUUUUGGAUUUAAAGGCUAUCAAAAACGUUUCAGCGGUUCAGAAGAUAUCCUGGUAUUUGACAUAUUACAUAUAGUUGUUUUGCCAUUUAAAAAUAUCCCUGGUAAGGGGAGGUUAGUUUGUCCAACUGGUAAAAUGUCCUCGUCAUUGUGCAACUCUAGCAGUGAUGGUGAUGCAUCUGGCCUUGGAAGCUGUAUAAUUCAAAGGUGAGCACGGCUAUGAGGCAUAAUGCCUGUCUGCCGUGCAAUAGGAUUUUACUAUAUCUGACAUAUGAAGUGCACAAAAUAGAAACGUAUUGUAUUUAUAAUGUCAUGUGUGCAGCAGAUCAAAGCACUCUUUAUGACUCUGCUCAUUUGCAAAAUAUUUUACUUUUGCAGGUUCGCUUAGUAACGGAUAAAUCGACAAAUAAACCAAGAGGCUAUGCUUUCAUUGAAUAUGUUCACACCCGUGAUAUGAAAGGUCUUGUAUCUGUAGAACACUUUGGCCUACUGAUUUUUUGGUUAUUGUUGUUGACAUUUCUUUCCUGAUGUUGUUUUAUCUUGAUUUAUUUUGUGACGUCAAUUUAUGCUAAUUGAUAUGUGCAGCUGCAUAUAAACAAGCUGAUGGUAAGAAAAUUGAUAACCGGAGGGUGCUUGUUGAUGUUGAACGUGGAAGGACUGUUCCGAAUUGGCGACCCCGUAGGCUGGGUGGUGGCCUUGGAACAACUAGAGUUGGAGGUGAAGAGCUCAAUCAGAGGUACUCUGGGAGGUAGGACCUAGUUACCAUUAUGCGAACACGCAUUAAUUUUUCAUCAAAUGGUAAAAUCUUUCAAGCUGCUGUCAUCUGGGCCACUUCAGAAAUGAAAAUUGAAAAUGCUUUUCAAUUCCCUGUACUGAGAUUUUAUCACAGAACUCAUUAAAAGAAUUGAGGCGGUAAUUUCCAGCUCUUCUAUUCAUUCUUGGGAGGGAACAAGUAAUUCUGUUCAUCUGGAUUCCAAUUUUCAGUUAUUUUAUUUGAAUGAUUUGGUGUUAGCUGUAGCUUGUCUAUACCUUUUUGUGGUUUGGGUAUAUUUCUUGUUGGAAUCUCCAAUGAAAGUGCAUUCUCAUGUUACCAAAUUGAUUUCCUUGCAAAAGGGUCUUGGGAGGAUAAACAAAUUUAGCCUCUUGGUGUAGUAUGUACCAGGUCUCUGAUAUUUAUGAACUGGGUGGGGAUCAUGAUAAAAAUAAACAUGGUCUUUUCUAGAAAAGCUGAAGGUGCAGUUGUAUUUGUAAUGGUAUUGCACUGUGUGUUUUCAUGCAUAUGAUUGCAUUAUCAUUUGAGAUAUGGUAUGUUAGUUAUAAUCAUUUGAAAUAUAUCUUGAUUCAGUUUAGAGAGUACUCCUCAUUUUAUGGAAUGUCAUAAAUGUUUACAUCACUUAAAUUGUUCAGGGAGCAAGUACAACCUGGAGGGGCAUCUCGUUCUGAGGAACCAAGAAUGCGGGAUGAUCGAGAUCGGUAAUACACCUUCUUGUAGUCCUCCAUUUCACAUUCUUAUGUCUUGAUUAUUGUUACUUUUUAAAAAUUCAAUAUGUUGCUGAACAGAAGAAAUAAGUUUAAAUAUGUUUGGUGGAUAUUCUAUCUUGAGUGAGAGAGAUGUUGAAGCAGUACAUCAUGAAUUAUUGAAGCAGUACAUUAUGAAUUAUCUUGACAUCUCGUCCUAAUCAUGCUCUGGAAGUUGUACAUGUUGCCUUUGUCUGCAACUCAUUUAUAUGAUGACUGUUUUAGGGAGAGGGAGAAGUCCCGUGAAAGGGUCAGGGAUAGGGAAAGAGAACGAGAAAAGUCUCAGGAGCGCUCUCAAGACAGAACAAGAGAUCGUGAGCACCGAGAGGAUAGGCACCAUAGAGAUCGUGAAAGAAACAGAGAUAGGGACAAGGAGAGAGACCGUGGUCGUGACCGUGACCGUGACCGUGAUCGAACACGUGAUCGCGAUCGUGGUCGGGACCGUGGUCGUGAUUAUGAACGUGAUAGAGACAGAUCUCGUGAUCGAGAACGUGAUCGCAAUCGUGAGAGGGAGAGGGAUAGAGACCGGGAUUAUGAAGUUGGUGAUGCUGACAAUGAUCGUGGUGGUUCUCAUGAUAGAGAGUAUGACUAUGACAAAGUUGAAGCUAAGCAUGACCGAGAGCGGCAUGGCGAAAGAGAGAGAAACUAUGAUCAUGCGGAGCAGGAGGAUGAUCGUGGAUGGUAUGAACAAUCAGAUCGUGGGCGUAAGCGUCCAGAAGGGGAGCAUGACCAUGGACACUAUGACUAUUAUGAUCACUAUCAAGGUCAGGGACAGUAUGAUAAUCAAGGUGCCCAGGGUGAUGAUGACCGUUAUCAAGAUUCUGAUCGAUAUCAUGACAGAUAUGAUCAGAUGGAUGAGGACAACUAUGGUUAUGAGCGAACAACAUCUGAGCCACAAGAGAAAGACCGAGAUUAUCAGCGUUCUGAUAGGUCGCUCUCUCACUCGCUCUCUCACGAUUACUAGUACUAAUUACCAAUGCAAUGGUACUUGCGAGUUUCUUGUGCUUCGCUGGUAAGGUUAAUGGGGUCAUAGUGUGCUUGUUGCUCUACAGUAAAAUUCUGAUGCUUUAAUUUGCUUGUUUCUGCAGCUAUUUUCCCCUGAAUAUUGAAUCUUUUGGUUGAUAAUCGGUUGGCUCAACACAAUCAUAAGGGUCAUAGUGUUUUUGUGUUUGUGUUUUGUGUGUUUUUUCUGUUUAUUGGAAGGAAAUUGUGCAUGUCAAGAACUUUUGUGUACACUCUAGCACUUGACUAUUUGCCUGGAUUCAGUCAUUAUAUGAGAUCUGCUAGUCUUGAAAUUGCUAUUGAUAAUUUGUGGAUGACGAUAAUUGAAGCUGCACUGAUGGUAUCCAUGUUAAGAGUGUUUUUAAUGCUUAGUUAGGAUACUCUUGGUGUUUUUUUUCUCUCAUUUUCUUGAGAACACUCAAGAAUUCGGCAAAUAAAUCUAGAUCCCCGAGCAACCUUCAAAAGCCGGCAACUCUUGAAGGCGCUCAGGGGACUUAUCUACCCAUUCCCAAACCCCCCAAUACCGAUGUGGGAACGAAACCCCAACAGGGGCAAGCCCAGCAGGGCGGCUUUUACUAAGAGCUAACUAAGCCCAGCAGGAAACUCUGGUGUUAAAUUUGAGAACUGUUAGAAAGCCAGACAACGGGUGGGGUAGAGACAGUGGAGAAAAGCACCACUGCCUACUAAUUUCCCAGCCCCUGCCUCGUUCCCCUUCCCUGCUGGAUUAAUAAAAAUUUAUUAUAUAAUUUUAUUAUAGUUAAUUUUUAAUAAAUAAUUAAGCAUUAAAAUAUUAAUAUAUAUUAUUCAUUGUAAUUUCAUAAUUGAAACUCAUAAAAUAAUCAAAUAAAAAUUAAUAUAAUUAAAAUAGUUAAAUUUUCACUUUUGAUACAAAUAUGAUCAAUAACUCAAUGUUGCAUUUGUGCUUUUUUUUUUUGGAGAAAAAAGUAUUAUUGUAUUAAAUGUAAUUAAAAAUUUAGUAUAAUCCCUUCAUUUCAUUUAUUUAAUUAUGUUUAAAAAAUUUAACUUUUUAAAAAUAGUAGUUUAAUUGUGAUAUUUUUACUUCUCUUUUUAAUAUUAUUCCUACAAGUUUAAAAUUUAAAUUUGAAUGAUAAUAUUUAAAUGAUUUAAAAAAAGAACUAUAUUGAAAAAAAGGCUAAAAAAUGUUUUGAUUUUUUUAACAUGAUAAUUAUUUUGGGACAUUUCAAAAUAAAAAAUAUGAUACUUUCAAUAGGACGAAGGGAAUAGUAAAUAUAGUAUAACUAACUAAUAAAUUUUAUUAAUUAAUAUAUAUAAUUAUUAAUAUAAUUGAUAAUAUCAAUUAUAUUACAUAUAUUAAUAUAUAUUAUAUAAUACAUAUAGCUAAUAUAUUAUUAUCAUAAAUUUGUAACUAAUUAAAUUAAAUAUUAUAAGUAUAAUUAUAUACAUAUAUAUAUAUAUAUAUUUUUUAACAAUCUAAACAGUGGGAAAAAAUUUCCCGUCCCAUUAGCCCCUUGCGAGUGCCAAUUGCCAUCCUCACUUUGGCCACCUGCCAUAAAAAUGGGCAACACUGCCAACGAAAUCCCCACUCCAGAAAAAAAAUGUUUGAGACGAUUUGGCACCCGAAUCGAUAAAAAGAUAGCAUAUUUGUUACUCUUAAGCACAUCCCUCUGCAGAAGGAAUGCUUUAGGUUGUUCGGUAUGUAUAGUGUUGCAAGAAAUACUCUUGGUCCUGAAAAGUAUCGCUAGUAAAGGCCUUGCACGUCCAGCCACACGAAAGCUUUGCAUUCGGUCAUGUAUUUUUAUGAGGACGAAUUGAAAAAACUUGAGGUCAACAUGAAAUGGUCCAGAUGUAAACUGGAGUAGAACGAACGGAUCAAACUUGAGGUCAGCCUGUUAUGAUUCAGAUGUAAGCUGGAGUAAUUUUCAUGUUUCUCGUUCGCGGUGAUUAUCUCUGCUACUUUAAUAAUCAGUCUCACUCCUUGCUUAUAUCUCUAGUUAAUAAAUGCUUGUAUGUAUCUAAAUAAAGUACAUUCCUAUUCAACGGUGAUUAUCUCGAACUUGAGGAACAACGUAUUAUCUCUGCUACUUUAAUAAUUAGUCUCACUCCUUGCUUAUAUCUCUAGUUAAUAAAUACUUGUAUGUAUCUAAAUAAAGUACAUUCUUAUUCAAAACGUUCCUCACAUUUUAUAAAAUAAUUUUUUUCGUUCCUCACUUUUUAAAAUAUAAUUUUAUGCUCUUUACAAAUUCACAAUGGUUAAAUUUGAUUCCUACCUAGGUUUUAAACUAGUUUUUUGUCGGAAUCCAUCAUGUACCUUGCACAUGAUUAUUUUUUAGAGACAAAAUUGUCAAACCACAAUUUAUAUAAUCCGAUUCAUAUCCCUCGCAUUUCAUAAAAUGAAUUUUUUUGUCCCUCACAUUUUACAAAUGAAUUUUUUUCAUCUCUCAUUGAUCAUGUAGACGAAUAAUUUUUUUUAAAAUCCACAUAUAUUUUUAUUUGAUUUCACUUGAAUAGUACAAAUAACAUAUAAUAUGUUUCUAUUUGAUUUCACCUAAACAAGUUAAUUAUAAUUGUACACAUGCUAUUCAAUAGAAAUAUACAUGGAUUUAAAAUUAAUAAUUCGAUUUUAAACCCAUGUAUAUAUCUAUUUGAUUUUACAUAUGAACUUAUUUGUGACCUUUUCUCUGUUAAUAAUAAUUCAUUUAUUAAGUUGUAUAAUAAAAUCAUAUAAUUAACGGAUUCUAAUUCAAAUUCUAUAGUCAUGCUAACAAAUUGCUAUUUAAAUCUAAAAUUUCUACUCGCCACUUUUAACACCAACAGUUGAAUUACUUAUUUUAUGAUUGCCUUAAAUUUUGAAAGUGCCAAUUAUUUACUUUUUUUUGUCAUACUUUUCCUUUGUUUAUCUUUUCUAUCCAAAUUUAAUUUGAUAUAAAUAUUCGACAAUGUUUAGAAUGAAAUCUCUUCUUUAUUUUCAACUUUUGAAUAAAAGAAAAUGAACAUGAAUGAAAAACUAAUAUUUUUUUUUUGAAUUCAUGUAUACAUCUAUUUAAUUUCAUCUAAAUAGGCUAAUUGUAGUUGUACACAUGCUAUUCAUAUUGUUCAGGUAAAAUCAAAUAUAUAUAUAUAUAUAUAUAUAUAUGAGUUUAAAAACAAAACUAUUCAUACACAUGAUCAAUAAAGGAUAAAAAAAAUCAUUUUGUAAAUGUGAGGGAUGGAAAAAUUCAUUUUGUAUUCAUACAUAUGAUCAAUAAAGGAUGAAAAAAAAAUCAUUUUGUAAAAUGUGAGGGACAAAAAAAUUUAUUUUGUAAAAUAUGCGAAACUAUAAAUCGAAUUGUGUAAAAUUUGAUUUGACAAUUUUGCCCUUAAAAAUGAUCAUGUGCAAGGCACAUGGUGAAUUCUGACAAAAAACUAAUUGGAAACCUAAAUAGGGAUACAAUUUGACAAAUGCAAAUUUAUAAGGGAUGUAAAAUUAAACUUUUAAAAGUGAGGAAUGAAAAAGUCAUAUUGUAAGAUGUGAAGGACGUUUUGAAUGAUCUUUCCUUAGAAAAAUAUUCAUAUUUUGUCCAUUUCAAAAUUGUUUUGAAUUCAUACCUUUUAAUUAGUGGUGUAUAACAUGUGUGUAAUAAACCUUUGAUAUAUUAUACUUUAAAAAUUAUAUUUCAAUUUUUUUAAAAAAAUUAAAUUUUGAAUAUGGAUAACAAAUUAUCUUUCUAACUAUAUGCAAAAUGAUGGUGACAUUGACAUUUAACAUAAUUAUGUAGAUUUAUACGUACAAAAGUAAUGAGAUAUAAAUUUUAAUAAAUUCAAUGUCUCACACGUGAGGGAAAAAGUUAAAAUUGAUAUAAAUAUAGUAAUCUUAACCUAUUUUCAAUAUUCAUAUUAUUCAUGAACGACUUUAUGUGUAAUUUUACCAAAUUCAUAUUUUUGCACCAAUCUUUUAAUCGUACUUUUGUAAAAUAAUUUUGGAUAAUGCGUGUGUAUAAUAUCUCAUAACCAUCACGUAUUUUAUUAACUAUGCUUAUAUGUUAUAAUGUCUAUAAGUACUUUGGUAAAAUAAAAAUAAAAAAAACUCUACUAAUCGUCUUUUAAUAAGCCAUCGCAAUCCGAAAUAGCCCUCCCUAGCAGAUGCUCUUAUCAUGCAUAACUCGAGGAUCACGUCUUCCCUAGUUUGUUGGCCUGUAAAUCCCAAAAACUUCUGUCGGCCGGAUCCAUUAUUGUGAAGGGACAGACAUGCUCGUGAAGACAAAGUGAAAGAGGAUCUUUUUUUUUUUUUGAAUCCAAGUGAAAUAGGAUCCAGUUGUUUGUAAAAGUCAGGGAACAAUUCACGUGAAGUUGCCCAUGGUUAAGCUUUUUAACUUUGUCACCAACGAAAAGUGAGAUCUUUCAUUCUUCCUGCUCAUGAGAUGAUGCGGCUACAAUACAGACACAUAUCCGGAUAGCAUUGUAGCGAUUGCAUCCUGCCCCUAAAGCGGCCUAAUUCCCAAACUCGCAGGGAGAAGUUUCGUGGAAGCCACGUCAUUUUGUUUGUUUUUGCCGUAGUAACGUGAAAUGCAUGCUCACGUAAAUCACUUGGGAUCCUCGAUGACAUUUUUUCUAUGCCAAUCCAAUGCCACCUAUAAUAUUGUGCCAAAUGUCCUGCUAUUAUUUACAUUUGUGUUAAACCAAAUCAAGUUGAAUUAUUAGACAAUUAAAAUGUAAAUAAUAACAAGAUAUUUGGUACAAUAUUAUAGAUGACAUUGGAUUGGUAUAGAAAAACAUGUCAUCGAGAAUCUCAAGUGGCAACGAUAAUAACACCACCGUUAAAUUAGUAGCUAAGCGAGCCUGUUUGAAUUGCUAUUUUUUAAAAUUUUUUGUAAAAAAAAAUAUUUUGAAUUAAAAAAUGUAUUCACGAAAAUGAAAAAUUUUGUUGAGAGAGAGUGACAAUUCAAACAGGGUCUUUUGCUGCCUUAGCCCCAUUUCGUGAGGUUGAGAUCGCACAGUUGCUAAAAAAACUUGAAAUAAACGGGCAGGCAAAAAUGCACUAUUAUUUGUAAUGAAACAAAAGAGACACAAGCUGUGUUGACGGGGGGAUCAUUCAGUACAUUGUCGUACGUCGUAUAAUAUAUACAGCCCCGUGUACUAAGAAUUCUAAGAACUUUAGCAUGCAUGUAUAUCAACUAGAGGUGUCAAAAUGGGUGAUUUGGACGAGUUUUGGUUAGGUAAAAUGGGUAAUGGGUACAAGUGAGUCAACCUAUUUAUAUCCAUUUAAUUAGAUGGAUAUAAAUGGGUAAGUAAAAAAAUGAAUUGGAUAACUCAAUUAUCCAUUUAUAACCCAUUUAUUUUUAACUUUUUUUGUAAAUUCAUUUAUAUUCAUUUUUACAAACUAAGUUAUCAAUUUAUACCAUCCUUUGCACUCAUCAUUAGUUUUAAAUAUUUAUUUAUAAUACUCAAUAAAUCUAAUUAUCAAUUUUUUUCUCAUCUGUACUCUAUGCCGCAAAAUUACAUACUAUUUAAUAAUUAAACAAUUGGAAUAUCAAAAUUUGAAAUAAGUACUAUAAAAGUUAACAUAAAAACUUAAUCCAAAAAUUUUGAACAUCUAGCAUUUUUUCAUGUGUAACUUUAAAAUUUCAUUUUGAAAAAGUAAGAAAAGAGAUUAAAACUUGUCAUAAAUUGGUAAUGUUGAAAAAUGAGCAAGUUAACAAACUAAAAGAAAAUAAAAUGAUAAGAUAAAACCAACAAACAAUAAUAAUAAUGAAACAAAAGUAGUUAACAUCAUGACAAAGUGAAAAAUUUGAAAAAAAAAAUGGGUGGAGGAAGAAAGGAAAUUUGGGGAAAGACAAUUCUAAAUGGAUUAAUUGGAUUUGAUGAGUUAUUUAAUAAUAUCCAUUUAUACCCAUAUAUAAAAAUUUAAGAUACCCAUAUCCAUCUAUUCAUAGACGGAUAUGGAUGGACAAACUUAGUUAAAUCAGUUUGUUUGACAGCAAUAAUAUCAACCAUCAAAGGAAGGAAAUUAAAGAGAAUAGUCAAGAAAACAACUAAAAUAAAAUGAUCCCUUUCAAGUACUCUCGACGCUCCGGCUGACUGAUCCUUUUCCUUCCAAGAAUUAGCCCGGUGAGCAACAGCCACAAGCUCUGCACAAUCCCCUAAAACGGGCCUAAAAAUUUGUAAUUAUUUACGUAUUUAUUUUCACCAUGACUUGCACCACUAAAUAUUAGCAUCCUCCAAAAACCUAAAUGCCACUAGUACUUAAAUAACUUAUCCUCAACUACUGAAAUCCCGACAGUAUUCAAAAAUCUUUCCACCUCAUGGUUCAACCACCGAACUUUGGCUCAAUAGCCACCAAAAAGGGAUUUAAGUCUCUCUUUGAACUAUAGGUCGGGAAUUUAAAUUCUGUUUGUAAUAAAAAAAUUUCAAAAAUAAUGUCAGAACACCCCUUCAAUUUAGUCAGGUCUGUAUAUCUUUUAGUUUAGUCUAAAUUAAAUUAUACAAAUAUUAUCGUUACAGAUUAAAAAAAAAAAAUACCACCUCAUGGUUCAAAAUUUGAAAUGUUACUAUUGGCCCUUUGCUUCAGCAGGCCAGUUCCAUCACGCACUAAUACUAAUAACAAGGAAAAUGAUAUACUAGUGGAUUAUUAUGUAUCAUCGGUUUUCUGAACUACCUGGGUAUUGCUUCCUAAGUUGCAAUGGUAAUUUGGCAUAGUGUUUAUUAGCCUGUGUUGCAGUUGCAGAAGUACAACAACAAUUCCUAUAAUAGAAACUCCUCCUAUCAAUUAAUAGUACUAGUGUCCAUCAACUUUUAUGUUCCGGUAUCAUUGUUGAACUUAUGUUCCAAUCUACAUAUGGCAGUGCGAAGGAUGGGCACAGAGACAUUACUUGAAGACACACCAAGCAUCAUUAAUUUCAUUGAGAUACUGAUUGAUGGUCCUCAUCAGUCCCAGCAUACUCAUAUUUGAGAAUAUAAUAUGUAUAUGUACCUGAUGCUUCGCAACACUCUUGAAGAAUUUCGAGGAAGUUUCUUCUUGACGUUAUAGGGCGGAUCGUUUGCAGAAAGUAACUACUCUACCAUCUUAAUUGAUUUUGUUUUCUAUCUGAUUAUCAAUGUAGUGUCGACAAUAAAUUGCAAGGAGACGCAGCCACAGUACCCCAAAAAAUAUGCUCCGUACAUCUCCUAGUUUAACCCCCUUUUUAUUUGUCGUUUGGUAAGAGAGCAAAAAUCUCAGGAAUGUAUGCUCAAAAGGAAAGGUAAAACAUGUGGUUAAUAUGCAUUCGGAUUUCUGUACUUUAUCGUGUAAAUUACUAACGAGUAGAGUAAUAUGUUGUCUCAAAACAAUACUAAUAUUUUGAAGAAAUUAGUAGUUCGAUCGUAAUAUUAUACAAUAAUCAUAAUCUUGAAAGUAUGCCGAAUGUCAGACUUUGAUCAGAUGAUAUUGAUCUUAACUAUUAUUUGCUUAAAGUGGCACCAGAAUGAACAUGAAUCAUCCUUUCUACAAGGGCCUGCAGUGCAGGGUGAGAUGAGGAGAUGAUGAUUAUUUAGAUUUUUACUGUACUGGAAAGCAUGUUUUGUGGAGUGUUUCUAUGCUUGUGUAAUAGCCAAAAAGAAUGUAGGCUCCAAAGUAGAAUUUCCAAUUCCAAGUUUAACGGUUAGAAUUUCUGAGAAGGAACUUGGUCUGCUUUAGUCGUUUGAGGCACCAUGCUUUCAACUGUCCAUGCUAUCUCACAUGAUCAAAGGCUCUUCCCGUUAGUGCACACCGUAACUCGUACAGCAGUAAUAUUUGCUUUUACCCACAUUCUAAAAGAUGCAUGGCAAGCAGCUUUUCAUUCUGCAGUGAUCUGAAUAGACCAAUAAGUACCCUUAGGUUAAGAAGUACGCCAAAAAGACAAAAAGAAAACAAAAAAAUAUUUGCCCGGAGCUUGAUAAUUCAUACGGGAGAUUUAUAAAUAUUGUAGACGACGAAACAGGACUUGCCAUUUUCUAUCGUCUUCAUAUCCUCUUCAUCCUCAAGAUUUUACUCCUCUUUUCAUCUGCAUGCAGAGUAGAGCUAGCGUACACAAGAACCCUAACACAGGAAAGUAAAGCUAAGAAUAGCAUCAUGGCCGAGGGAGUUUUUGGGAUUAACCAGAGAGCCAAGGCGAUUGCAUUGACAGCAGCAUGGUUUUUCUGCUGGAUUUUGUUUACAGCCAGUGACAUCGGCAGUGCUGAAAGGCUCCUGAAAACCGUCGAGCCAGGACACAUUGUGGAGAAGGAAAUGAGGCAAGGAUUCAUAGUUCGAUUGGUGCAUUUCCUCUGGCAAAGUGGAAAAUCUUCUUAUCAACAUGUUUGGCCCGUAAGUUCAAAAAUUGUCUAACUAAGCCCAUGUUCCUUAUUUUCGCAACCAUUUUUCUGUACUUAACUACACUUUGCUUUGCUAAAGGAUAGUGUUUUUGUUUUUGUUUUUGUUUUUUUUUUGUCUUGUGAAUUCCUAUUUCUAUAUUAGGCGUAUCACUUUAUGUUCAUGCAAAUUACCUCUGAUCAUGCAUGUAACAUCAACUGGUCCAAUUCAGCUGUCAACGGGAAUGUCCUAGAGGAGUAUCAACUUUUGUCCUCUGUAGUUUGCAACUCUUAUUUGCUUCAUGGAGUAAAUUUUAUCCUCUUUAACUAUUGUGGAAGUGUUUUUUGAUUCGUUCCAUUUUUUUUUUUCAUUUGAACAGGAGAUGGAAUUUGGCUGGAAACUGGUGGUGGGAACUGUGGUUGGGUUCCUUGGAGCAGCACUGGGAAGUGUUGGAGGCGUUGGAGGCGGUGGAAUUUUCGUUCCAAUGCUCUCUUUGAUCAUUGGGUUUGAUCCCAAGUCAUCAACUGCCAUUUCUAAAUGUCAGUUUCUGAUCUUUAAUUUGGUUAAUUUCGUAAUUUCCAUGAAAGGUGCACUUAAAAGAAAACGAACGGGAGUAAAGGACUAGAUACAAACACUCAAAUAACAUCCCCGGACCAUGCAAUCAAAUGUAGAACGUGUUAAAAUAAUCAAGAGCCAUAUAGUUCUGCCAUUCUUUUCCUGGCAUUUAGUCCAAUUCUCAGCAAAUAUUUACAAGCAGCAUCAGUCUCAAUUCUCCUUGUAUGAGUCGAUCCUCUGUUUGUUUCCAUCAUAGGUAUGAUAAUGGGUGCAGCUGGUUCAACAGUAUAUUACAAUCUGAGGCUGAGGCACCCAACACUAGACUUGCCUCUGAUAGACUAUGAUCUGGCUCUGCUCUUUCAACCUAUGCUCAUGCUUGGCAUCAGCAUUGGGGUGGCUUUCAACGUCAUCUUUGCCGAUUGGAUGGUUACAGUGCUGCUCAUUCUCCUGUUCAUAGGUAAUAUAUCACCUUUGCUUUAUGCCAAUCCUUUUGAUUCUGUCCACUACAUGCAAAUGAAUUUGACUCAACGUAUGAGGAGGUUUCAUGCUUGAGAAACUUUUACCUCCAUCGUCUUCCUAAAACUCCAAUGGACGUAUUGUUUUUACAUUGAUUGAUCAGAAUUUAGACAGAAAUGGUGCUCCAUCACUAUCAAAUUCUUUUAUUGUUAGGACCAUAUGCAAUAGGGCAUGGAUCCUUUAUAUGUGUCUGAGAAUUUGCUGAGUAUCAAUAAGGCAGCUAGUAAUCUAACACGAUAAAUUUAACUGUGAUAGGAACAUCUUCUAAAGCAUUUUUUAAAGGACUAGAGACAUGGAACAAGGAAACUAAGAUGAAAUUGGUAAGGGUACUCCACUGCUGUUUGGCUCGAAUUGGACCUGGGUGUUAGUCACUGCAUUCACUGAAGCUUGAAAUUCUGCUUUAAUUUCAGGAAGCAGCUGAAGUGGCGCAAUCAGAUUCUAAAUUCAAUGGUGAGUGCAUUAGUAAUAACCGUCUUUUAAUUAAUAAAGUUUGUAUAAAUCCACCUAGCAACUGUACUGCAAAGCUAUUCAAGCAAAUGAGCAAAAGAAUUAACAUAAGUUCAUCAAAUACUAAUCCAUAUACAUUUGGUUGACUUGAUAAAAAUGAAUACAACUGAUGCUGUAUACUAUUUUAUAAUUUCACUCAUUACAAUGCAGAGGGUCCUGGAAACGAAUAUAAGCCUCUACCAGGUGGUCCAGCUGCUCAUGCAGAUGAGAAAGUAAGUUAUAGGUCCACAACUGUCAUUUGUUUUUUUUUUCCUUCCCUUUGUGUGUGUCCUGUAAUAGACCUCUAAAACUCUUUGCAAUAGUUACCCUUCAACCUGUUUCAAAGUUCACUAGUAACUAAUUAUUUACAUUCAGGUUCCCCUGCUGUACAACAUCUACUGGAAAGAGUUAUGUCUGUUAUUGUUUGUGUGGAUAGCUUUCCUGGCUAUUCAGAUUAUGAAGGUACUCUUUUGACAAUACCAUAACAUUUGAAAACAGCAAAAAUAGUUUCUUAAGAAACUUUCCAUGAUCAUAGAUCUCAUCCUGCUUCAAAAGAGUAUAUUUCCUCCUCGGAUCUUCUGGAAACCUUGUGCAUUGGCAGUAUGAUGGAUUAACCAUUUGAUGCUAGCAAUAAUACUCGGUAUUUUUUAUGAUCCAUUUUGCAAUAACACAAAUCUCAUACUGUACGAGUCUCCUUGCAGACAUACACACAGACAUGCUCUGCCAAAUAUUGGACACUGAACUUCCUGCAGGUAAAAUUUUUAUCUAAUGAGAUUUUCAACAGUAAAAAGUUGAUCAAGUGCUGUGAGCCAAUUCUCAAAAUAAUGCUGCAAAAUAAUUUUUACAUUUGUCAAGGUACCAAUUGCAGCUUCAGUUUCCUUAUAUGAAGCAACUUGUUUAUACAAAGGGACGAGGACAAUCGCAUCCAAGGGGAAGGAAAUCACAGUUUGGAAACCAAACUUGAUUUUUCUCUAUUGUUGCUUGGGCAUAGUGGCUGGCGUUGUUGGAGGAUUGCUUGGGUUAGGCGGUGGCUUCGUCUUGGGACCCCUGUUUCUAGAAUUGGGAGUUCCUCCUCAGGUACAUUUUAUUUUUUGUUCGGUACUGCAGGUACAUCUUUGUUUGUAAAGAAUUCUCCUUUCCAUUUCAAUCCCAGUAGUCAAUACUCCUAAACAAAAAUUCCUGGAAAAUUAAGUUUCAAUUCCCAAGCAGAAUUAAAACUGUUUUCCUUGUCUAUCAAAAAACUGUUUGUUUUUCCUUACAAAGGUGGUCAGGUCAAUAAACCCGUAAUCGUUUCGAGACGUUUACAUCUCUUGUCAGGUGGCAAGUGCAACAUCGACUUUUGCAAUGACGUUCUCAUCUUCCAUGUCAGUAGUGCAGUACUACUUACUGAACCGAUUCCCAGUUCCUUAUGGUAAAGAAAUCGAUCUCCGGAUAUUCAAAACCCAAAAGAAAGAAAGAAAGAAAGAAACUCCUUUUCAUGUAUUCUCUGACUCCAUUGGUAUUUUGUUGCAGCUACAUAUUUUGUCUUAGUUGCCACAGUUGCUGCCCUCGUUGGUCAGCACGUAGUAAGGAGGAUAAUUGCAAUACUUGGCAGGGCAUCUCUAAUCAUAUUCAUACUGGCACUGACUAUUUUUGUCAGCGCAAUCAGCUUAGGUACAAAUCAUUUUCACACUUCUUUUACAUUCACAGAUUCUACAAAACAAAGACUGUCUAGUAAGUAGGAGUAUCAUUCUCUUGUCGUUUAAUAUUUGGUUUCAUGGUGUUGCAACUAAUGAAGCAAAAUGGUUCCUGAUAUUGUUGCAGGUGGGGUUGGCAUAGCAAGCAUGAUUGAGAAGCUGCAAAAUCACGAGUAUAUGGGGUUUGAUAAUUUGUGUCGCCAGUCCUAAUGUACUGUGUUAAUUAUACUCCAUGAAUCAAAAGGUUUCUCCGGGAAGGAUACUACAAUCUGGGCCAUUCUGUUUCAUAAAUAAAGCCCACUACUAAUGCAUUCCUGGGAGAAAAGUCACCGACAGACAUGUUAUGUUUUCAUUAAUCCAUCCACGUUUUCUUAAGAUUGUAGUAACAUAUUUUUGCAACAACUUUUAUCUUGGUUGUUUAUGGCAGUAAAUGAUUUGUGUUGAAAGUUGCGUGCUAAAGCAAACAUCGUUUGUGUGAAAUUUGGGUGAUUGGAUAUUGGAAUCAAGUUGAAACUGAGCCCAACGCUUCCACUUCCAAGCCAUCAGGGUCGUCAGGGGGAGAGGUUAAGUCGAUUUUUGUUUCUUGCAGGAGGGAGUACUCAACUUCGUCCCACUUUGGUGGUCAUGUUUUUCUUUUUUUCGUUCCUAAACUAUAGUUCAUUUUUCAAUUGAAAAAUAUAGUUAUCUUUUAAUUUUUCUAAAAUGCUCUCAUUCAAUAAUGUAGGUUGUUAUUACAAUAAACUAUCUUAUUUAAUAUAGAUUGUUAACCUAUCCCAUUUAAUACAUUUAGAUUUUUCAAAAUAUAUUGAUAUAUGAAAAGUCAACUUUGUUAUUCUUUCAAGCUUAUUAUUGGCGGAAAUUGAAAAUGAAAUGGAGUGCUAGGCUGAUGAAACCUUUUGAUUAAUAAGUGAAAUAUUAGGCGGCUAAACUUUUUUUUUUUAUUGAAAAUGUGAAAUAAAUGUAACAUGAGGAUUGAUUCUUUCUUGACCAUCAAUUCAAGUUUUCAUGAAUAAUUAAUACUCCAUAAAGUUGUACUCUAUUUAAUGUAAGGAUAUUUUAGAAAAAUAGCGAACUAAAUUUAUUCUUUUAAUAAAGUUAAUUAUUUUUUUUAUACUAUAUAAAAAAAAUUAGAACUAUCAAAAUUGAACGCUCUUUUGCGUGCUGGGUUUUGAAGCUGGGAACCUACACUUUGAACCGUGACCAGCAAAAGAGUCGGCAGUUGUAUUCCCGACAAAUAGCAACGCCAUAACUAAGACGUGCUUUUAAUUUUUCAAGAUUUACGCCUGGGCUUCAUGAGAGUUUUGAAGCGCAAUAUGAAAUGCAGGGGUUUGGCAUAUGAAAAAAAAUGCAGGGGUUAUUCAAUCUUUUUCUCGAGGCAUGAAUACUACUUUAGCCACUAAUUAUUCUACACAAUUCCAGAUAAACACUCCCAUGAACUUCAUGUGUAAAGUCGAAUGGAUCACCUUUUUAAGCACUUGCUAUGAACUACUGUAAUAGUCUUGAGGUUUGAAUCUCCAGAUCAUAAAUUUUCGCAAAAAAAUUCUCUUCACAUAGAUUGCAAUUAUCUUCUUAUCUCAAACACGUGAUCUCACUGUCGUUUUAUAAAAAUUCCAAAAAAAUUGCACUCCUUUUGUAUUGUUAUUUUCUGGUGUUUUUAUAAAAAAAAAAGUAUUGUAUUAAUCUGAUGCAUGUAAAAAAAAAAAGUGAUUGAAAAUAUAUAUUUAUGAAAAAUGUAAAUUUUUUUUUGAAAAAAAAUGCCAAGUUAGUAUUCAGAAAUAAGAGGAAGAUGAAGCAGUAUUGAAAGUGCAUACGUUCUUAUAUGACAAUCAAAAUUACUAACCCUUAGGCAACAAUUCAGAAGAUUUUCAUCUACAUUUGUAGCAGUAAGUUACGUAUUAUUGAGAAAUUUAUUCCUAUAUUGAUUUUUGUAUGAUGAUAGAUGAGUGUCCAAAACACAAAUUUAAAUAAGAACUCAAUACAAGCUUUCAGAAUUAGCACAUGAGUGCCAAUUUUUAAAAUUUAUUUUUUAAGAUCGAGAUGAAUAUGCUUAACAUUUACUCUUCGUUUGGAUUAGCUGUUAUUGAAAGUAUUUUUGAAAUAUUUUACUGUAAUAGUAUAUAUUAAAAAUUUUUACUAUAAAUGUUUUUUGAAAUAUUUAAUAUAUUAUAUAUAUGAAACAUGUUUUUGAAUUAUUUUUGUUUAUGUAUUACUAUAACAUUGUAUUUGAAAAAUAUGUUAAUCCAAACUGAAAUUUUUUGAAGUUAAACCUCAUUUUUUCAUAGGAAAAAAAUUCUGCUACUAUGAGUACAGGGAAAAAAAGGGGGGGGGGGGGUGUAUUUACUCUGUAAGAAAAAAAAUUUAUGAUGGCUUGCUCGAUAUAACGUUGGAAACCCGAGGGCGAACUCAAACCACUCCAUUUUCCCGCCCAAUGCCGCUCGCUCAGGAACGGGCAUUCACUUAAAAAGUCGCAUUCCACAAAUUGUAAUAUACGUAUUAUUUUUUAAAAAAAUUGCCCUGUUACGUGAAAAAAGACUUCUUCUCUAUAAAAUCAACUCCAUCCAUCAGUCUUAUUCUCUAUAAAGCUGAAAACUUUUCAUAUACUGAGACGCCACCCAUUCCCUCUGGUCUAGUCCUGAAUCUCUUCUUCCAGUUCCGGUUGUUUCUCCUUAUUUUUCCGAGACUCGAGUAAGGUUUUCCACUAAUAAUUCUUUUUUUUUUUCUGUAUCAUGCGUUAAUGAGUUUAUCGGACGUCUGAUUUUCGUUUGGAGCUGUAAAAUGAAAUUUUCCUUUUUUUUUUUUGGAGUUUUGGAAAAUGGGGGGAAAAGAGAGCUAGGGUUUUAGUAGAUUGAUGUUUUAAUUUUUGUUUUGAAUUUGAGUGUACCAGGGGUUGAUUGAAGCAGAGAUGGUGGCUGAGAACGGAGUGAAAGACGAGCCUCAGGCUGAUUCUCCUACCUCUGUUCUUGAAGAUGAGGUAUACAACCAUUUCUUCUGGUAGUUCUUUUUUUUUUACGGUGAUGAUUUUUCUUUUUUCUUUUGUAUUUCUCUUUCCGCUCAUGUCAUUUUAUUCAUCUGUGAAGAAAGGUUUUACCCAUCCUCUUUUCGAUUAGGCUUGGUUUAGAGCCUUUCAUUGCGUUUACCUGAGUCUCCAUGGUUUUUUCCUGUUUUUGAAGUUUUUUUUUUUUUUUUUUUUUUUAAAUCUGUCUCCGUUGAGAAGUAAAUGGUCAGGGUUCAUGUCUAAUAUGCUUGUGGUGAAAGGAAAGCCUGCAGGGGCUACAUUGAUCAUGUUAAGGUUUCAUUGUGAGCUCCACUGGUAAUUUUAGAAGUGUGAAGGAAAAGGGCUUUGACUGAGAGUGUGUCAUUUCUAUGCUUGGAAAGGAGGGGAUUGGGUGAUUUCAAGCUUAUAAUAGCAGAAAGUGAGUUCGGGAGCUUUAUUUUCUGUUUUUUUUUUUUUUUGGUUUCCCCCCUCUUUUGGGGAAUCUUCAAUUGCAGUCAGUCAAGACGGGUUUGGCAUCGUUUUUGCUUUAGCUGGAGAAAUACAUGAUAAGAGUGACUUUUGUUCUUGCACAUUUCAUUAUGGUGGCUUAUUGAAUUGGCUGGUCUAGGUGUUGUUUCCGUAAAGAGCUUGGCUAGCAGAAAAACAUUUGUUGUACUCUAAUGCAAUACUUGAGAUGCAGUUACAUUUAAUUUCAUGUUUCACAUGAUUUAUUUCUCGUUGAAAAAAUCAGAUUCUUGUUUCCUGUUCAAUCCAGGUGAUUUCAUGUAAUGUUUAUUUGUUUGUCUCCCUUGAAGGAUGCUUGCAAGGAGAAAAAUUGUGUCAAGAUGGAGGGAGAACUAUUGCUUGAUGCUAAGUAUGGAGAUUCUUCUCUCAUAACAGAAACUAUGGCUGCAGAGGAAGAGAAGCUUCUAGAACAGCGGGCAAAAGCAAAUUCAAAUGAACCUGAUGAGGUACCUGUAUUGAAUGACAUCCAGUUUACCAAACUGGAUGAGCUUCUGACUCAGACUCAACUUUAUACAGAGUUUUUGCUGGAAAACAUGGAUGACAUUUCAAAGGUAGGACCUGAAAAAUCUGUAGAUUCUAUGAUAUCAGUGUGUUUAGUUGUAGUUUCUGCUGAGUCAGUGGUGUUUGUAUUGUGUAAUCAGAAAGGAUUGGAGGGUGAUGAACAGACUACCAAAGAAAAGAAGAAAGGUCGUGGUUCAAAGAGAAAGGCAGCCUCAAAUUACAACAAUGUAUUUCCUUUUUUCCUUCCAUUUUUUAUUUUACAUUUGAUAUUCAUGCUUUCCCCUAUACUGGAGGUCUUCAUGGUGUCAUUUGUUAUAUCAAAGUAUAGGCAUUUAUGUUAUUUGUGGCUGCAAAUUGGGGAAAUUUUAACAUCUUUUACAACCUGAACACAAUGUUCACAUAAUCUAUUAUCCUGUUUUGAACCACAGUUUUUUUUUUUUUCAAAUUCUUCACGAUUAAAUGGAGUUGUGCUCAUCUCUACAUGUCUCAAAAUAAUUCUUGCAGCUUGAUCUUUCACCUACUAUGCAAGUACUAUUCAAAACAACUGCAGUAUGCUAUUUAAGGCAAGGAAAAGUGAGCUUUAGUUGGGAGGUACCCUAGGAAAUUAGGUUGACCUGUAGAAUACUAUAUAUCAGAUCAAUGACUAUCACAUGGUGCUUUCUUGGUUUUCUUUCUGAAUUUCCUCAAGUCUAGAAUCUGUUGAAUAUUAACUAGGUCAACUUUAGUGAGAAACAAACUGUGUAGAUCAUACUGUAAUCUAGGGGGUCUAUACUUGCUCUUUGGUGUAAUCCAAGUUUCCUGAUUGAUUUACUGCAGAGUAAGGCGAAAAGAGCUGUUGCAGCCAUGCUCACAAGAUCUAAAGAAGGUGUCUCUUUAGAGGAUUCAAACCUUACAGAGGAAGAGAGAAAUGAGAAAGAGCAGGCUGAACUGGUGCCGUUGUUGACCGGUGGAAAGCUGAAGCCUUAUCAGCUUAAAGGUGUUAAGUGGUUGAUUUCAUUGUGGCAAAAUGGGCUGAAUGGAAUACUUGCAGAUCAAAUGGGUCUUGGAAAGACUAUACAAACUAUUGCAUUUCUCGCGCACUUGAAAGGAAAUGGUUUGGAUGGACCAUAUCUAAUUAUUGCUCCUCUUUCCACUCUCUCAAACUGGCUGAAUGAGAUAAACCGGUAAAUUUAUUUGUUCUCUAUUUUCAAUUCUGUAAUCACUUUUUGAUUCUGUAGUUAAGCUGCACUUUUCUCCUUUGUUCAAUUGGAUACCUGCUUCAUGCUGAUUCGUUGUUUCACCCCAAAAUAUUCUGUAGGUUUGCACCCUCACUAAAUGCAAUCAUAUACCAUGGUUAUGGGAAAGAAAGGGAUGAAAUAAGGAGAAAAUACAUGCCAAAUACAAUAGGUCCUAAAUUCCCCAUUGUAGUUACCUCCUAUGAAGUUGCAAUGAAGGAUGCACGAAAGCACUUGAGACACUAUCACUGGAAAUAUAUGGUGGUUGAUGAGGUAUACAGACUUCUAUGGUUUUCAGAUAUUACCUUCUUCCCUGUCAUACUUUAUCUACUGCAUUUUCAUCAUUUGAGGUAAUUCUUCAUUUUGCUUUUAAGUUGAUUCAUUUCUUUACUAUUGUAGGGGCACAGGUUGAAGAACUCACAAUGCAAAUUAGUUAAAGAACUUAAGCUGUUGCGUGUUGAAAACAGGAUUUUAUUAACUGGGACACCUCUGCAGAACAACUUGACAGAACUCUGGUCGUUGUUGAAUUUUAUUCUGCCGGACAUAUUCAAUUCGGAUCAAGAAUUUGAAUCAUGGUAGUGAACUUUUGUUCUAAAUCAUAUCCCAGAAUCCUUGUCACUGAAAUAAUUUCUAUACAAGCACUAAAGCCUUUAUAGCUCUUGUGUUUAUUACAGCUCUCCUCUUGGGCAAGGAAGGUGCUUUUAUGUUUUCUUCAUUACAUGAUGAAGUGUGUCGUCUGUUCCCUGUAUUUAAAAAUUUUAAUCUCAUGGUAUUUUUGUCUAUGGAAUCACUGCAUUAACUUUCCCAGUACAAUGUAAUAUUUUAGUGCUUGAAGUUGUAAUUAGGUGCCUUUAUGUUUGAUUCUUUAUGGUCUUUUGUUUUAUGUAUUUAAAACCUUUAUCUCAUUGUGAUGUUCUCAAUGGAUUCACUGUCAAUCACAGGGUUUAACUUUCCUGGUAUAUUGUAAUGUUUUAGUGAUAGUUGCCUUUGUGGCUGAGAAUUCUGUAUUUUUAGUCUUGAUUAUAGAUAUUUAUGUUUAUUUGCAUUUUGGAUUGCCAAAUGUGAUUAAGAAAUGAUAAUUUCUAUUACGAAUUUUAACAAAUUAUUCACCAUACUUAUGCAAUUUCUAGUUUUAAACAAAAUAUAAUAAUAUUUUGUUUUCCUUCUUUUAGUAACAAUGAGCAGACUGUCAGAUGGGCCAUAAUGUUUGUACUGUUUGAGUAUCAAAGCUUUGCACUUAAAACAUUUUCUUUGUUUCUUUUGGAAGUUGAGUUUGGGGAGAAGGGCAUAUGUUUUGAGUACUUACCACCAUAGAUUACAGUCAUUUAUUGCAAGUAAUCAUGAUUUUUUUGGUCUCUCCUCAACUGAAGUCUUAUGUUGUCGCCUACAUCUCAGGUUUGAUCUUUCUGGAAAGGGCAGCAAUGAGGCUUUAAGGGAAGAAUUGGAAGAGAAGAGAAGAACUCAGGUAAAUAGUUGCUUUCUAACGGAGCUCCUCCUAGGAAGAUUUUAUGAAUUUUAGUGUUUGUAACUGGUUUUUACAAAACCUACAGGUGGUGGCAAAACUCCAUUCGAUCUUACGUCCCUUUCUGCUGCGGAGGUUGAAAUCAGAUGUGGAACAAAUGCUCCCUCGGAAAAAAGAAAUAAUCUUAUAUGCUACCAUGACUGAUCAUCAAAAGAAUUUCACAGAUCAUCUAUUGAAUAAGACACUAGAGGAUCAUCUGCGGGAGAAGGCAGCCUCUGGUAGUUACGGAGUUUUACUUAUGGAAGAAAUAGGAUGUGUGUUCUGGAUUUCUGGAAUCUGGAUAUCAAUAAGAUGAAGUGUCUAAGCAUUUUUUGCAAUUUCUGUUAAAAAUGCAGGACGUGGCAUGAAAGGGAGACUUAAUAAUUUGAUGAUUCAGCUUCGGAAGAAUUGCAACCACCCUGACCUAUUGGAGUCUGCCUUUGAUGGUUCUUGUAUGUCCUUUACAACUAUGGAUGGGAUUUUCUCACAAUGAGCUUCUUGUUGAUUUUAAUUGUGUUUUCAUACUCUUUUGACAGAUUUCUUCCCACCUGUAGACCAGGUAGUUGAGCAGUGUGGAAAGUUUCGUUUGUUGGACAGAUUAGUGGGAAAGCUAUUUGCUCGUCAGCACAAAGUAUUUGUGUAGUUAAUUAGUUCAAUGUGUUGCUUUUAUGCUCUACUUUGUCCUUUAAUUUGUUGAUCUUGAACUUUUCCUUUUCAUAUUGUAACUGCAAUGCAGGUUCUGAUCUUUUCUCAAUGGACCAAGAUUUUGGACAUAAUUGAUUAUUAUUUUGCUGAAAAAGGUUUUGAAGUUUGCAGAAUUGAUGGCGGAGUGAAAUUGGAAGAAAGGAGAAGGCAGGUAAUGAACAUCUCUUAAAGUUGCACUGUAUCUUGGUGCAUUCUUUAUAUAUAAUUCAGUUUGGAUUUCUCGAAAAUUUUUGCAGCAAUUUCUCAUAAGCUUAGAUAAAAAUAUUGUAUUUGUUUUUAAUUUGCUUCUUGCUGUUUCUUGGAGUUAACAUAGCACCAUUUCAUUGGGCAUGAUGCUACUCUUUUUUGUGGUCUUUUCUGGACACAAGAGUUUCAGUUAUGGAAAUUUUUGCCAACCCCUCCAUUCAAUUGCAGAAAUCCUGGUUUCAAUUUGAACUUUAUAUUUGUGAGAUCUAAGUAAAUAGUAGAACACGUCUGCAAAACUUGUUAGUUUGAUCUAGAAACAGUGAUUUACUAAAACGGAAUUGAGUGAGUUCUUCUAUAGUCUGCAUUGCACUUAAAUGGUGCUAGUUAAAGGGAUAUGGAAUUGUUUUGACUGAUAAUAAUCUACUUGAACAAACAGAUACAGGAGUUCAAUGAUGUGAACAGUAAAUACAGAAUCUUUCUUCUUUCCACCCGAGCUGGUGGGCUGGGCAUCAAUCUUACUGCUGCUGAUACCUGCAUUUUAUAUGACAGUGAUUGGGUAUCUUCUUAAUCUUAUCCUUAUGGUUCUCUUCAUUGUCAUCUCAUUAGAAUGCGGACAUGGAUUUUUUAAAACUUUUUCUACUUGAACACUUUUAUGGUUCAAUGUAUCUGACUAAUUUUGCUUGUGUAACAGAAUCCUCAAAUGGAUUUACAGGCAAUGGAUCGAUGUCACAGAAUUGGUCAAACAAAACCUGUUCAUGUUUACAGGCUAGCGACUGCCCAAUCGGUGGAGGUAUCUCUCUUCUCACUCAAUAUUUGGUUUUGGCUUUAUGCUGCUUUCUUCUGAUUAAAAACACUGUGAACUGUUAUCAGGGUCGUAUGCUGAAAAGAGCAUUCAGUAAAUUAAAGCUCGAACACGUGGUAAUUGGUAAGGGGCAGUUUAAGCAAGAAAGAACCAAGCCCAAUUCAAUGGAGGCAGUUGAGGUUGUACUUCUUCCUACAUGUUUUUUCCUUUAAUAAAUUUUUUUUGCAUAUGGUUGUUUCCUUGAAGGUUUAACUAAGUUAUGCCCUAAACUGGAAGAACUUGUUUUCUCCACUCUGAAAAAUGUGAGAUCAAGUUUGUCCUCAGCGAUACUUAAAUAGGCAUUUAUCUAGUUAAAACACUUUCAGAACAUCAGAUUUAUUUUCCUUUCAUAGUUAAGAUAAACUCCCAUAUUCAGGAAGAGGAUCUGCUGGCGCUUCUCCGAGAUGAAGGAACUGCCGAGGAGAAAUGGAUCCAGACGGAUAUUAGUGAAGAUGAUCUAGAAAGGGUUUUAGAUAGGAGUGAUCUUGUUGCUGUUUCUUCAGAGCAAGAUGGAAAGACUGGCUCAGAUUCAACUGUGCUUCCCCUUAAAGGGCCUGGCUGGGAGGUGGUGAUCCCGACUGCACCAGGCGGAGUGCUUUCCACCCUUAACAGCUGAUGAAGGUUUAUUUUGGUGCUUGUGUUAGUUGGGCUGUUCUUUGGAGUCGAGUGCUGGGAGGAGAGGUCUCUCUUUUUGGGGUUUUACAUAUUUUAGCUUUUCGUUGUCGGGGAUGAAUAUAUUUUGCUCUCAUUGAGCUAGAGAAUGCUAAGCAUCUAGUUUUCUCUCAUUUUUUGCAAAUAUCCCCAGAGAACAUUCUCUUAAAUGGUGGUUAGACUCCUACAGAUUACUGUAAAUGUGUCGUGAAGCAAGUUGCAGGGAACAGCAACUGAAAUCGCAUAGUCAAUUGUCUGCUGUAAAAACUGUGUUAAAUGCGCCAUUUGAUAUUGGUGUUUCUGGCGAUUGUCUUCCGCGAGACUUUUUUCUCUUCCGUUCAUUGGUUAAUAUCGACUUUGGUUUCGCAAUUAUUUUGUAAAUGUUCCCCAUCAAAAUAUCCUAGUCUGAUGAUUAAAAAAAAUAUAUGGAGUCCAGACUCUAGAUUGCCAAGAACAAUUACCAUUACCAUGUGAACAAAAAAUUCAAGUAGCGGAAGCUGAAAGUGAAACUAAGGCCGGCGAAGACGGGUUGCUUCCACGGUUGCCACGACUAAUAUCAAAUUGUCGACUUAGACGACACUCUAAACCAAAAAAGCAAACGAAUUUCCGUUGCCGGGAAUCGAACCCGGGUCUCCUGGGUGAAAGCCAGAUAUCCUAACCGCUGGACGACAACGGACGCUGCGUACAUAGGUCGCAUGAAUCGCUUGUCGUUUGUUGAAGUGAUGAUUCAUCAGUCACAUGCACGGCUGGGCCUAUCAAGUCUGAAGCCAUGCAGGAUUAGGGUGAAUAGUCGUUCGAACUGGUCGGAUGUUGAAGCUUAGUCGAACUGCUGUUUCUCCACCAUUCUUGCUUAUGAAUUUCUUCACGAACAACUCCAGCUUUAAUUUUAACAUCUUUGUAAAUGAAAGAGAACCAGCAGAGUGCUUUCGCAGUAGUUGUUGUUUCGAAUCUCAGCGCAUUUCACCGCUCCGUCAGAAAAUUUCAUUGUGACGUCGUUAUUAUUAUUAUUUUUCCCUUAUUUUAUACAUUGAAAUUGUUGAAUGCAUUAGAUAUCAAUUCCUAUCUUGAAAAAGAUGUCACAGCUGAUUCCAGUACUUGGUUCGAAGGAAAUAUGAUCUGUCAUAGUCGGGAUUCCCCAUUUUUCUUUUCACUUCUCCAUGGGCGCGUAGCUUAUAUUAGAACAAUUACGAGAAAUGAUUUUUUUGCAGUGUUUCUGAAACCAUCUUAAACCUGUUGUGUUUUCCCAUUCACAUACUUCAGCACCUGCAAGAGAGGAACACAUGCUUCUUGACUGACAAAUGCUAAUUUCCUCAAAUGCAUUAUUAAGCGCCAAGAAAGACAAGACUGGUUCGAACUUUAACCUGAUAAAAAUUACGCAGAUAACCAGCCAAAUUCAACUGCUGCACAGAAGUGACGACCACAGUUUACCGAUAACUAGUAACAAAGUUCAAAUAUUAGGAAAAAAUGGAUCUCUCCUAGGCUGUAGCAUCCAAGGGCUUCCUACCAUGCAAGUUGAGGCUUUACAGUGGUUCAUUCAAAUGCUCCUGAAAAGUACCAGUUCUAAGAUCUGUAAAUGGCCACUAAACUUGUGGAACUGCAAAUUUUCCAACUCUUGGUGAUAGAAUGGAUUGCACAUCCACUAUGGUCAAUAUCUUGGGAAUUGACAUGCCUCCAGAUAUGACUAUCUCUGCAAUACAUACACACUCAGGUUGUCAUGAAUUUGGGUUAACAGUCGAAGAAAGUGUAAACAGAUUUGCAGGAAGUAGUCUUCUCUUGGAUUCUUACCUAUCCCCUCUCGAACAGAGAGAUUCGGUCUCAUUAUAUCUUUCGAGUUGAUGAGGAAUAUAUCUCCUAGAUAAAGGUGGUUGGUGGGUAUAUAAACACAGCAAAGCUCCUCUGAACCUGAACUCUUGCGGAGGAUGACACUUGAUGUAAUGAAGCCAAGUGCAUACUCCCCGAUACGUGGGUGCCUGACGAUUGCUACUUCCUUGAAGGCAUGUGAAUUCUGAUCUGGAACAAUAACUUGUGUCAAAUCCUUGUGCUUCAUGUGACUACACUCCUUUUUGUAUGAAUUUGGUUUACCUGGUGAAAUGGCAGCACUGAUUUGCUUUGAAGCACUAUAAAUGUAGCUCAUGAUGGGCAUUUUCUUAAUAAACCAUUCUCCCAAUCCGAGAACAGAGGCACCCAACCAUGAUGACAUGAAGACUCCAACCAAAAAUAUGAAAGUUAUCGAGGUAACAAAUCCAAGACCUGUCAAAACAAAUCGCUAAAGUCAGCAAGUUUAAUUGAUGCAUUUUCUGCCGGCAGUAAUGCAUCCAAUAUCUUGUUCAACCAUCUCAACAGGGCAUAUAUAGCCUGUGAACGUUUUCUAGUCAAUUUGAUUAUCCCAAGGAAUUAUUUACUUCGAGCAACAAGAUUUGCGGCUAACAUACUUCAACAAACAAAUUCUAAGGAGCAUACUAAAUACUGCACCAUUCUACUGCAGACAUCAAGUUUGUUUGCAUACAUUGAAGGGUGCAUAUUUAGGGGACUCGUCGAAUUGGCCAACUAACUGUUAAAAACUGCAGAUGAAUAAAAUAACAUUCAUCAUUUAUGAGACAUGAAACUGAUACGUAGAUACAGCUGGUACACUAACCGAAUACGUUAAUCCCCAGAUGAGCAUAGAUGGGGGAGAAGAACCCGUCCACAAAAUGAAUGAACCACCAAGUGAUAUAGAAUGUGAUCGCUAUUGGAAACAAGAUGACACUGCAAAACAAUGUCAAAAUCAUGUACAUAUACCUGCAAUAACUGCUACUUUUGCUAGAUGAAUUCAAGAAAAUAGAGAAGCAUAUCUAUCCAAGAUGCAAUGUCUAUUAACCAUGCAGCAACUAGGGAACGCCUCAGUGCGAUACGUUUCCUUCUGAUGUGCUAUUCCUUAAGGCACCUAAAACUUCAUCGAAACACAGAGUCUGGCGGUAUCGAAUGCAAUGACCAAAUAAAUAAUUUUCAGUUCCGCUCAUUCUAAAGCAAGUCAUCACAACUGGUGACUGGAAUAAAAUUCAGCUGCAGCAGCACCACAUGCUGCCUUGUUCAAUCCUCUAAUUUCUGAGUUGCACCAAUUCGUAAUUGAACCAAAUUUUAGUGUAAAGGAAACACGAUAGAGCACAAGAGAACUAACCAUCCCGACAUAAACUUUUUAGAAGCCCAGCUACGAAUGACUUUGCUAAAUGCCUGUGACACCAGGAAAAUGAAAAUGAGGGGUAUCGUUAGACAUGAGCAGAUGAAUCAAACUUAGACAAGCUACCUGAGAAUCCAUUUGCACUUCCAAGUCCAUAUAAUGUGUGUGAGAGAACAAAAUUUACGUAAGAUGACAAAGCUCAAUACCUAAGAGACAAUUGUCACUACUGAUGCAAGUUUAGCUUUGGAGACUGCUGACCUCAGAUUCUUGAAUUAAUAAGCUCAAGAUUCUCUGAUAUAGAUUCUUGUUCCGUAGAAAAGCAUAGGAACAUAACGCCUUCAUUUUGUUUCAUUUGUUAUUUCGGGUUAAUACAAAUUAACAGGCCUCAUUCCAUACAAUCUAGUCCUGGUGACAGGAAUCAUCACUUAAUCGAGUUCUGUUGGGACCAAAAGGAAUGAGAAGAGGAGGAAAAAAAAAGAUUGCUCUAACUUGAAGAUCAAUAAUGGUAAAAGGAAUGGAAUAAAAGCCUUCCACAUGAAAUUAAAAUUAUCGUGUAAAGAGAGAGGGAAAUUGUUGGUUUAACUGAUUUCCUCUGAUUGUAAGUUUGUGCUUAGAACCCCAACUGGAACAAUAUAUAUAUAUAUUUUUUUUAAAUAAAGCUAAAACACUAUAGACGAUAUUCAAUUCUGUUCUUUUAUAACUCAACUCCCAAAAACAGACAGAAAAGAGGCAAUCAGGUGUUCUAUAUUCACAUUUUUUAUUUUAAAAAAAAAAUUCGCAGAUGCUUCGAUCAUUCUCUCUGUCCUCCUUAGAAAAAAAUAAAUAAAUAACAAUAAUAUGAAGACAUAAUAGCUAAGGCAAGUAACUAAGGAACUGUCUCAACAUUCCAGAAUUUUUAACUUCAAAAAAAAAUGCCAAUUUACUAUAAUCACACAGAGGUAACGCAAACGACGUGCAUGUGAAACAUGUCAAUAUACGGGAUAAGGGAAAUUAAUUUUUUCUUUAACCAAAAAAAAGAAAAAAAGAGAAAAAAGAGCAAGCUAUAGAAAGAAAAGAAAACCUCUUUGCCGGCAUGAUGAGAUAAAGAAGUGGAAGCGAGGGGAGAUUCGGAGGGGGAAGAGGAUUUGGAGGCAAGCCCAUUAACGUUGUCGGAGAUUCCUAAGCUUCCUAUGGGUAUCAAACGUUCCAGAUCUCUGUCCUUCUCUCUACUACUGCUGCCCAUUCGUGAUCUCUCUCUCUCUCUCUCGGUUUUUUUUUUUUUUUUUGGAAUUUUUAUUUUUAUUUUUUUGGGUGCUUUCUCUGAUUUCUUCCAGCGAGACUAGCCAAAGCUAAAUCAAAGUGUGUAACCAACCAACUCUCUCUAACUCCUCCUUCCCGGGGCUGGGGAUACAGAAAUCAUUAUUGGGACGUUAAAACUCACUAAUUAAAUUACAAAGUAUAAUUAUUCUUGUGCUCAAAAUUGAACGUAAAAACGUCGAAACAGAAACAGAAAACAUGCGGGAAUUUAGUUGCAAUAAUAUGUUACCCCAAAAUCGUUAUUCAACCAGCACGAAUUCCUUACUAUCAUUUAUCUCUCUCAAAAUUCUUAGAUGAUAGGAGUAUUUCAUUUCAUUACAGAUAAAAUUUACUAACAAAAUAGACCGCCUUGGUACUAUAGGCCAGUCACUAGGUGCAUGCAGCCAAGCUUUUGCUUAAUUGAAUUAAUUAGCCCCCUUAAUUUUCAAUUACUAUAUAUGAUUUAAUUGGAACUCGGUCUGCAUUCAAGCCGGUGAGGGAGAGCGCCUUUUUUUUUUUUUUUUCCCUUUUUAAUCCCCGAUGACGGCAUUCAGCCCCCAUUAAUGAUUAAUCCCUCUUUUUUGAAUUAAAAAAAAAAGAUAAAAAAUAAACGCCAAGGGGAAAAAAAAAAAGAUUAAGCACGCGAGUUACCCAGUAGAGGCGUAGAGCUGAGCUGUCCACCUUAGUAGGGAAACGAACUACAAAGCUCCUCAGAUUGUCUAAAUUCCCAGUAUUGUAUUGGAAAUUUGGAAAUCGAAUUCGACGGAGGCUUAGAUUAUACAGCGCCCGCCCGCCCGCAUAUCUGGAAUUUGUGGGAAGGUGAAGCAGCAAAGCGGUGGGAAGGUGACAAAGACAAUAAUUAUAUCUUGGGCUGGGUUGUUGGGUCGUUUCAAGAGAGAUGAUCACUCGGUCUAAACUGGUGGAGCAACUCCGUGAUUACCAGAUCCGAUCCCAGCAUAAAUGUCCCGCUCUCACCGUCUUCUCUCCCAAACCCCUUCUCACAACCUGGUACUUGUUGUGAUUAUUCUUCGCUUUCCUCGCUCUUCCCAAUUAUGUGCCCUGAAAUUUGGUUGGAUUGAUCUUUUCUUUAAUAUGUCGGACAUUGUUUAAGUGGAGUUUGUUCUUUUCUUGAUAUGAUUCCUGCUAAGGGCAUUUUAAUGAGUUGCCAAGAUCGAAUUUUUCCAUUAGGUUUUGUUUUUGCUGUUUUGCCGUCGGAAGGUGUAGUAAAGUUUAAUGGAGUUCAGUUUGUCAGCUUGGGAACACCCCCACUGUAGUAUGUACUUAGCGUAGCUUCUUUUUUCACAUUCUGCAGUCGUAGAAAACCUGUUUUCUAGGUUUGCCCUUUUGGAAUUUCGAUGUUAUGUUAAGUAGAAACAUAGAACUGUAGUUGGAUAUUGAGCCUGAAACUACUAGAUGAAUAAGCCUUCUUUUUUUAGAGAGAGAGAGAGAGAGAGAGAGAGAGCUUGUGUGCAUAUUAGCAUAUUCAAUAAACUAGUGUCUUAGCAGGAAGUUGGCUGUAGUGGAACAACAGCUGGAAACUAUAUCCGGCUUUAAUCAUCUGAACGUCGUGGAGCUAUUUCGUAAUCCAGUAUGUAGACUAAAACUGUCUUUCCGGGAUUAUUUGUAAAUGAUUAUCUUUUGUCAGUUCAAGCUGGGUAGAUUGGGUGGAAGAGUUAGAAAAGCAAACAUCAGGAACAGGGAAAUCCCUCGAGUGGAUAACUGAAUCAUUGCAAUAAUUCCUUUAAAACUUUCUUUAAUUCCUUGCUUGUGUGCCAGUUGCAGUGAAACUUUUAAUCCAGACAGAAUCGCGGAGGACAAAACGGUCGUUAAUGUAAAACUUGAUAUGGAUAAGAAAAUAUGUUCCUUCAAAUAGAAAGCAAGUUGGAAAUUUAGAGCAACUUUUUACAUUCCUGCAUGUUAGUAGGUAUAUGAUUGAUGGAUGAGCCUUGUUGAAGCUCCAGUAGUCCUUGUUCCAUGCUAAAGAAACAAGCCUAUCUGAAUAUCUCUCUCCCCUGUUAGGACUAUUAGUGGCUUUGAACUGGAAAGUUAUUCCCUUUCAGGGUACUGAAAUGGUAUUCACAUUUCAUCUUAUUCCAUUUGAGAAAAUUUUCCUCGAAAGAAUAGCCCAAGAUAUUCAAUGCUUUUUCAGCGGACAUUUUUCUCUUGAUUAUCAAUAAGUAUUAACUUGAUUCCUCUUCUAUAUGUUCUAUGGAUGCUUUCAGCUUUGUGGAACACCAUUUUGGCAAUUCAAAGGUCUCUGCUUAAGUUGAUAUAUAAUGAAUGUAUUACGUUAUGCUGCUAUUGAUAAUACUUUGUGUUUGACUGUGUUGUCUCAAGAUUCAUGCACCGUCUCAUUUCUCUUCAGAUAACAGACUGCUAGAACUAUGUGCAAAUUGUUCCAUCUCCAUGAACCCCAUCUUUUAGAGGCAUAGUUACUCGCAUUUAGCUGUGUUAUCUGCAGUACGAUACAUAAGUAACGCGGCUGUUUGUUGCAGGGAUGAUGUUAUGGUGGCCAUCUUGUGGGCAUCAUUGUUCAGUGCACUUGUCAUAUCAUCAUAUGUGACCCUAUAUUUCAGACACUACUGGGUUUCUUUUGUGAUCAUGUGCUUUGGUAUUUUUCUUCCAGUUCGCUUGAGAAUUUCACGGCAGGUCCUUGCAAGGAAAAAAGAAAGACUAUUACCACUGUCGUUUUGAUCACCGCUUUUGUUGCAGUAGCUGCAGAGCUGAGUUUGACUGACUGGUACAUUGACUGAACCGUGGUGCUGAUUUUGUUAAGAGCUCUGACUUAGUUCAGGUAUCUUUAUCACCUCUCGUGACUACGGUGGCGCAAUGAUUUCUCUCUGUCUCUCUCUCUCCAUCUUCUUCAAGAAGCCUUGAAAUUUUACCAAGCAAUUCAUUCCUCUACCUGUAAAACUUCUCAAAGGAGAGUACACAAAGGUCUUAUGACUCUCAGAAUUUCUUCCAGUUGAUUGCAAUGUUUAUUGAAAGGAAUAGAUUCAAAGUCAGAGAUAUGUGUUUAGAUGUUUUAUCAAAAGUUAGGACAAACAGGCGAAACAUAUAUAUAGUCUGUGAGAAGAGCCUCUUACAGAUAUCAAGAGUAGGUGCUAAGGUAAGAAAGGAACCCCUUCUAGCAUAUGUCCAUUAUCCGACACUGAGUUGGCAUGUAAAUAAAGGCAAUAGCUUUACUUGGUCUUUUACUUCCUUCUCUGCAUCCGUUCUUCCUUUCAUGUAAGUUUUACCAUCUGCUUCUACGAGGCCUUAAUUUUAUGGGGAAAGUACUGAAUAUAGAUAGCUUUAGUUGCUGCUAUUACUAGAGCAUGAGUUCUUCCCCCCCCCCCCCCCCCCGGGGGCGGUGCAGAGAGAAGAAUGUUUGAAUCCCUGAAUCAAAAGUUACAACGAAGAAUAGAAUAAUGAAGUGAUCAGGGGAACAGUAAAGUAUAGGGACCAGCUUCUUGCUCCUAUUGGUGGAAAACCAUGAAAGAGUCUUAAUGUAAAGUACCGCUAAGUUGGAGCAAAUCAUGUUCUGAUUAUCUUGUAUACCCUUUCAAGUGACUGUCACUUGAAAGUUUUCAAGAAUUUGCCUCAAAAUGAAAAGCUUUCUUUCCUUCUCUCGUUUACUAUUUCUUGUGUAUCCUUCCCGGUGGCUGGAAUUGCAUUUGGUGAUUGAUCUAUCCUACAGUGGAUUUGGAAUUGCAGCAACGCUCGGCAAUUUUGACUAGCAUCUCAAAGAAGAUCAUGCGCUAAUAUUGAGAGAAUGAUGUUGGUCGGUAACAUGGUGUGGGUUAACAUAAAAUUCAGAAAAAAAAAAAGAAAGAAAUAUAUAGCUCUAUGUAGACCACUAAUGUCCAUACAAAACUGGAUCAUCGUCAUCCACAACACUGAUGGCUGAUUGCUUUUCUGCGUCUGUUUCUCGAGCAAGUUCCCUGUCCAGCUCAGUCGAAGAUUUAAAGACUCCAUUAUUGCAUCUCACUUAUUCAAAGAUUUACGUCUCCAUUAACAACUCAACAUAAAGCAAAAUCAGGUGAGGACAUUGGCCAAUUAGCGAGUCUGAGUCUGUUUAAAGGUGAUGGAUAAGAUAAUACAUGACAGAAUCAGUUAAACUAGUGCCGAAGGCCGAAAUUAUCGGGCAAUCAUUAUCAAUACUAGUCCACUGAGCUGUAAACUAAUACAGAACUCCCAUAUUAUAGUAAUAGGCUUCCAAAAUCACGUAUAAUUAGGUCGAUGCCAUCAUUGAGGCAUUUGCUCCCACGACUGGACUCUGAAUUUAACACCAUGGAUUGGAAAGGAAAUGAAUGCUGGUUUUGCAUCAUGCAUCUGUCUCCGGUCUCAGGUCUCAACCAAAAUUAUAGCGCCAUUACUGAUGCGUCAAUCUAGACGGUCUGAAAUUCAAGUGGGACUUCACCUGGGGUUGGAUUUGACGUUGCCGAAAGUAAAAAAGGCAGAUGGCUCUAGAACCAAAUGUGCCUGGUGACGUUAAUUUCUAGCUUGAAAGGCUAACUUUUUUUAUCUCCUACUCUUUUUCUACUCCAGUCAACUGCCUUGGUGCAUUGUGUUCAUAUAAAUUUAAUAAUAGUACUCAUUUUGCUGGUGUAAUUUUGCAUUUUUCUUAUAAUACUACUACUGUUCUGAGCCACAAAAUUCUGGGGCGGGCGCUUAAGAUUAUGACGAAACUAGUUUGAUGCAUCACCAAAGCAUUAUUAUUUCAUUGUGGAAGGUUUCGAAGACGGUUGGGGCUCAUACAUAUGUCAAUGCGGUGUUUGUCUCAAAUAAUUUACUGUCACGGUUGGGCCGUAAAUCUAAAUUAUGAAAAAGUUCGAGCAAAUUGCAAUGGCAAACAUAUGAUAUCAAAGGUGGAGGUGUACACGAUCUAGUUAAUAAAUCUACUCUUUGUUCAAAAAAUGCUUGUGACCUGCACUUGGCUUCAUACAUGAUAUGUUACUGUGUCAGAACAAAUGCAACAAGUACGAGAAAAGGCGUAUUAACGAUUACUCAAGCACAGAUCCGAGACACAUCCAUAACUGGAUUCCAACUGAUUAGCUUUGUUUAACGAAAAGUAAAAUUGAAAUAAGGAGCUGUGCUGCUGCACUCAAGAUUAAACGUACGUACGUGGCAUGGAUGAGGAAAUUAGCUUCUUCUAAGGUUUUUUUUAUAUAUAUAUAUAUAUAUUUUUUUUUUCUUUUAUAAAUAAAUAAAAAAUUUUGAAUUCAAAAGAUUUUUUCUUCCGUCUUAUGGAUCGUUCAAUCCAACCUUCCCUCCCUCCCUCGCGCAGUUCUAAGUUCUAGCCAGUUGUUACCUGCUUUUUAGUACGUACAGCGGUCACUGCUUAGUCAAAUAGGGUCUUAAACUCGAUGACAAUUGCCUGCAUUUCCAUUGAUUAAGUGGACCAACAGAUCAUUAUUUACAUCAUCAAAACAAGCAGCUAGCUCUGCACUAUCAUAUCUAUCUAUUUAUGCACUGUUUGCCUUUUGCUGCUACAUCACCAGGACCCUUGCCUUGAGAACAGCGACAAAAAAAUCAAUCCCACCCAAAAAGAGAUAAGAGGACCUCCAAAAUCUAAAACGCUGCUUAAUGAAUUGUUGGUGGUUUCGACGUAGAAAGAAGUGGGGGGUUUUAUCUCAGUAGCGAGAAUGGUCAACGAGUAUGGGAUGAAAGCGCAAGAGCAAUGAUUCCAAUUGCCCUCGCACUGCCUGCGAUUCUCUGAACAUCAUGCGGCCACGUUUUUAGAGAUUACUAGCGCGCGUGCGCAAUCAUUGCUAACUCUCUCCGUCUGUCUCUUUUCCUUGUGAAAUUAUGAUGCGUGGGGUUGAGGAAUGGAACGCGAUACGGAGAUAUGUUUAUAUAUGCUGCUCACUGCUGUAUAUUGUGGACCUUUUUUUCCCGUGUCUUCUGCGCGUUAUGAUUCAGUGCUACUGGAGAGAAAAUUGUUCUCUUGGUCAUUGAAUAUUACAGUAAAUGCUUUUCCAACCCUCCAUGCUUUUUAGCUCUUGUUUCAGAGAAGCUGAUGUCGACUUGUCAUGCAGGCGUUUGGUUCGUGUUGGAAACCAGAGGCUGAUAUGAUCCAUUAUUGUCGGCUAAUGCUGCAUCUACUCAACUACUAGUUUCUGAAGAAUAGAUAGGCUUGCAUUACGUGUAUAUUUUUAAAAAAAAAGAAGACAAAAAACUAUGCGUGCAUUGUGCAGCCGCAUUCUUUGAAGUUUCUUGUCAUGGACAGCAAACAAAAAAAUAGCAAUAAUUCAAACAGCCAAAUCUUUCUCAUCAUCUAUUGUCUUUUUCCGAUUAAUUAGUACUCCUAAUUGAGACCAUAAGGUGUUGCCACAUAUUCUUGACAAACUUCGCCCCGUCUGGAUGGAAAUGAACCGUAUGCUCAUGUUUUACCUGUAUCCAA
rnacentral:lncRNA from 1 species